GUUUAACGGCCGCGGUAUUUUGACCGUGCGAAGGUAGCAUAAUCACUUGUCUUUUAAAUAGAGACCUGUAUGAAUGGCAUAACGAGGGCCUAGCUGUCUCCUUUCCCCAGUCAAUGAAAUUGAUCUGCCCGUGCAGAAGCGGGCAUACCAACAUAAGACGAGAAGACCCUAUGGAGCUUAAGACACGGUAAUUCACGUUAAGAUCCUUAUAUUAUAGGAGAACCAAGUAAAUUUAUCCCCCUGUCUUUGGUUGGGGCGACCGCGGAGUAAUAAAAAACCCCCACGUGGAAGGAACCCCUAAACUUAGAGCCACAGCUCUAAUAAACAGAACAUCUGACCAAAAGACCCGGCAACGCCGAUCAACGGACCCAGUUACCCUAGGGAUAACAGCGCAAUCCCCUUCUAGAGCCCAUAUCGACAAGGGGGUUUACGACCUCGAUGUUGGAUCAGGACUUCCUAAUGGUGCAGCCGCUAUUAAGGG
rnacentral:rRNA from 1 species